GAUCCUGGCUCAGGACGAACGCUGGCGGCACGCCUAACACAUGCAAGUCGAACGGAGAAUAUUGGAUUUAUUCAUUAUUCUUAGUGGCGGACGGGUGAGUAACACGUGAGCAACCUGCCUCUAAGAGAGGGAUAGCUUCUGGAAACGGAUGGUAAUACCUCAUAACAUAAUCAUACCGCAUGGUGAGAUUAUCAAAGAUUUAUCACUUAGAGAUGGGCUCGCGUCUGAUUAG
rnacentral:rRNA from 1 species